AAGUAAAUUAAAGAGCAGCCCAUUUGUUCAAAGAAAAGAGUGAUUUUAUAGAAAAAAGGAAAGCAAAGGAGAAACUUGAACGUAUAAAAAAGCAUGGGGAAUUUGGUUAUUGUUUAAACCAAAAAUGCCAUUGGGGAAAUACUACUGCGAUUACUGCGAUAAGGAAUUCCAGGAUACUCCAGCAGCUCGGAGGCGACAUCUUCAAGGUGUUCAACAUCAGAGAUCCAAAGCUCUUUGGUACGACUCCUUGCGCAAUCCUCAGUUAUUUAACGAUCCGGAUUCGUUUGGUAAAGGAGUCUGCAAUCACUUUGUUCGAACGGGGUAUUGCCAGUAUGGGGACUCCUGCAAAUAUUAUCAUCCCAAGCAAAACUCUCAAACUGUGAACCAAACGGGAAUUCCUCCAGGGGAAAUUAGUAGAGAGGGUUUUCACUCAAGUAGUCAACCUUUUGGUUCGGCCUCUUUUCCAGGUGAUGUGUUCAGAGAAAAGGCCGGAGCAUCGCUGGGCAAUCUGCCUCCCUCCCUAAGACCUCCGCCUGAUGGUGGUUAUCCACCUCUCCCAUUUGUUGACUGGGGAUAGAUUGGAAAUUUUAGUGUGGUGGCAGGAAUAAUUGCUCAGCCUAUUUGGUUGCAGAAGAUGGUUAUAGUGGUUGGACCUGUAAGUAUCUACCUUUGGUGCAAUAUGUGGAUUACUAGGUUCACUGCUUGACUCUGGUCUUGGUGGCUAUCAUUUGGAGGUUACAAAUUAGAUGAGUUUGAGCAGUAGGGUUUGGAGCUUACAAUUGUUAAUUUCAGAACAUAUCAGGAGAGACUCGCCUAAGGGUGUUUUCAUGUUUAUAUUCUUUUUAUUUAUUUAUUUAACAAAAUUGGGCCCUUAGUAGCUUAGUUGGACAAGUAUACUGUUGAUACAAUUACAUAGAAGAUCUAUCAUUUCGAAGAGGUCAUCUACCUUGGUCUGAGAUACUUUUGGAUCAUUUCUAUAGCUUCCGUGUAAGACAUGCAACCAAAUUCUAUGAUGGCCUUUUCACAUGCA